rnacentral:lncRNA from 1 species
UCUGUUCCUGCUUUCAGGGCACCCUACUGCAAAUACACCUUCUGGAUCAGGUAUGUAUCAUAUGGCCGUUUGUCUCUCCAGCACGCACAUGAACUACAACCUUAAUCGUGCUCAGUAACAUAUUUUGUGAUUAGAGUCCACCCGUCUAGGCGCCGCCAUCAUCCUCGCACCGUCGCGCGCUGCGCCGGAGACACGGACGAGGUCGAGCAGUAUGUGCCUUCGUCCUCUUCCCUCGGAGUGUGGGACCGAGGAUAAGGACGAGGAGAAGAAAUAUGUGGCAUCUUCAUCGUUGUCUCUUGGCGCGCGGUGCUGGAGAGACAGAAAAGGAGGUCGAGAGCUGGAAGUGCGGCAUAUUGUAGUGUUUUGUUUGAUGGGGAAAUAUCUUUGUAUGCCAGCAUAUUUUGUAGUGGUUUGUUUGAUGGGAACUACCUUUGUAUGCCUGCAUAUUUUGCUUAGGUAUUGAUGAUUCCAUGCUAAAUUUGUACAAGAUUAAAAAAAAAAUUGUGAGUGCAACAACUAUUUGUUAGUUGCACCAAAUUAAAUUCAUACAACUGUGUUACACAGAUCUGCAAAUGCAAAUAAAAAUGUGUGUGUACAUUAG